rnacentral:lncRNA from 1 species
CGUAGACAUUGAUGAGGCCGAGAUGCAGAAGCGGCUGAGGGAGUCUCGGGCCAAGAAAGCUGAGAAGAGUGCUGGAAAACGACCCAGAGAUGAUGAUGAGGGUCGGGUUGCGGACGUGCUGGGCAAGAGGAAAGCCUUAGAGGAGGCGCAUCAGCAUGUGAUGGGGCCGAUGCCGAGACUUCCGCCCUUUGAUCUGCAGGCACCGCCGAAGCUACCCUUCGGCAUGGAGGAUGUGUUUGCUGAAGGGGUAGAGAAGGUAGACUUUGGCAGGCUACGCCAGCAGAAGAAGGAAGUGAACCUGGCUAUGCACCGGUAGGAGGUGCCUUUGGUGAACGUCUUCCUGGAAGGCGUGAAGAGCGACCCUGAG